rnacentral:lncRNA from 1 species
CACCCUGUAGUUUAGUUCAAAUUUCUAAAUUGAUUAUUUAUGGCAUUAUUGAUUUUUUUAUUUGUUUGAUGCCACAAGUAACACUAAUUUUAACUUGUACAUUUAUCACACUGUUGUGUAGCUGUUAAUGAAAGGGUCUUAAUUCAAUAGACCUCUAGCUCUGUAUAUAGUUUCAAAUAUUUACAAAGUGUCAAUGUUGCAGACUAUAAAUGGUGCUGUUAAAUUGUGUUUUUACCUGUAGUUACAAUGGCUAAAUCACUUCGAUAUAAAGUUGAGGAACAUUUGACUUGCUCUGUUUGUUUGGAACCAUUUAAAGAUCCCAAAGUUUUACCAUGUCUUCAUUCAUAUUGUCAUGUCUGCAUUGUAAAACUGGCCAAGAAUGCAAAGUCCAAGACUAUCAACUGUCCCGAGUGUCGAUUGGCA